UACGUAGGGGGCAAGCGUUGUCCGGAUUUAUUGGGCGUAAAGAGCGUGUAGGCGGCCAGACAGGUCCGUUGUGAAAACUCGAGGCUCAACCUCGAGACGUCGAUGGAAACCGUCUGGCUAGAGUCCGGAAGAGGAGAGUGGAAUUCCUGGUGUAGCGGUGAAAUGCGUAGAUAUCUGGAGGAACACCGGUGGCGAAGGCGGCAUCCUGGACCGACACUGACACUGAGGAGCGAAAGCCAGGGGAGCAAACGGG
rnacentral:rRNA from 1 species